CUUAUGCUGAAGAACUUACAUCAUUAGUAGUGAAAAUCUACAGGGUGUUGUUUUUCAGAUGUCAUGUUCCAAUUUCUUCCCCUGAACUUUUUUUCUGUGCGCCUCUCGGAGAUUGUAAAAUAAGAAUUUGAUUUGCUGUUUUGUCAUGUUUGCGUAUUUUCGAUCCUUAUUGAAAAAAAAAUAAAAAACAAUUUUCGGCAAGUAAGUAACAUUUUUAAAAUGGUCCAGUAGGUCUUGGUUUUACUUGGAUAAUUUCUUAUUUUUAUUAGUCUUGACAGUUUGCAUUUGAAAUUGUGUUUGCAUAUGUUUAUAACUGAAAGGUUUAAACUUGUAAAGUGUACGAUGAAAUUAUAACACCCUGUACGUCUGUCUGUUUGCGGACCUAUGCUUAUGUUAACCGUUAGUCAUAAAAUAAGCCAACGAAUUAGCCCCUUCCGUAUUUACAUCAUAUUUACGAACACCCUGUAUAAUAAUAAAAAUCGCUGUCGCCCUCAUAGUCUCCCCCUUAACCCAGCAUUACCGACGACUUCUGCGAUGGAUCAGAGCGAUUCAACCCUGGUUAACGAUUAUAUGGACAUGGUUCACGCAAACGAGUUAUUGGCAAUGGCUUUUCGAAGAGAAUCCAUGCCAGUAGCCCGCGGUCGUGAACUCCCGGUGCUUCCUGGAGUCAGAAUUAAUAAGGCUAAAGAUUUUGGAAGAGCAGCCUUAUAAAGGUAGGACGCAUGUUUGUAUUUUCUUUGUUGUGUAUUUAGCAGUGGGGGAAAAGUGGAGUGUAUAGUGCAACUAAAAAUGAUCUUUAGUGAAGAAUGGAAAUCUCCGUUUGACAACAGAAAAUAAUUGUAAUUAUUCUUCGCGAAGUUGCUCUCGUGGGAUCAAUCAGUUUGCUUUGUAUCAAUGUGUAUGACUCUGGGUUCAUAGCCAUACCGUUUUACAAAGCGAAGUGAUUGUUUUCUGCGGGUUUAACUUUGAAGAAGGAUUGCACUCUUUAACGGAAGGUUAGUAAAUGGGCUUUAAUAAGCAUUGUCCCACUAAUCUCAUUGAUUGUUUUCAGCACCACUGUCAGACAAGGCACGCGAACUUCAACCACGCUGGUGAGAAUAUCCCCGCCAACUUGAUCCUGAUCAAACAAGCAGGUUCCCACCCCUGAAACAGGUGACUGGGCUCUCGUGCGGAAAACGUUUUGUUAUUCCUAUCUUUGUGAUUGUCUCUUCACGGCGGCCAUCCAACAAAUCAAUGGAAUUCGACAAUUUUCUCAUAGGCAAGUGACCAUCAAGACCAAGACCACGGUUUCAAUUUAAAAGUUAACGGGAUUUUCUACGAGCCCAGACGCAUAUCUAUUGGACCAAAAGAAACGUUACUUUACCUUUUUGUUUAUUUUAUAAUUAUUAACGUUGGUAAAAGUGGUGAAUAUUUGUUUUGGUCCAAUACAUGUGGCUGGGC